AUUGAACGCUGGCGGCAGGCCUAACACAUGCAAGUCGAGCGGGGUUUUCGGACCUAGCGGCGGACGGGUGAGUAAUGCGUAGGAAGCUGCCCGAUAGAGGGGGAUACCAGUUGGAAACGACUGUUAAUACCGCAUAAUGUCUACGGACCAAAGUGUGGGACCUUCGGGCCACAUGCUAUCGGAUGCGCCUACGUGGGAUUAGCUAGUUGGUGAGGUGAUGGCUCACCAAGGCGAAGAUCUCUAGCUGGUUUGAGAGGAUGAUCAGCCACACUGGAACUGAGACACGGUCCAGACUCCUACGGGAGGCAGCAGUGGGGAAUAUUGGACAAUGGGCGCAAGCCUGAUCCAGCCAUGCCGCGUGUGUGAAGAAGGCCUUCGGGUUGUAAAGCACUUUCAGCGAGGAGGAAGGGUGGUGUGUUAAUAGCACAUCAUUUUGACGUUACUCGCAGAAGAAGCACCGGCUAACUCUGUGCCAGCAGCCGCCGUAAUAC
rnacentral:rRNA from 1 species